UACGGAGGGUGCGAGCGUUAAUCGGAAUGACUGGGCGUAAAGGGCAUGUAGGCGGUUAAUUAAGUUGGGUGUGAAAGCCCCGGGCUCAACCUAGGAAUAGCACUUAAAACUGGUUAACUAGAGUAUUGUAGAGGAAGGUAGAAUUCCACGUGUAGCGGUGAAAUGCGUAGAGAUGUGGAGGAAUACCGGUGGCGAAGGCGGCCUUCUGGACAGAUACUGACGCUGAGAUGCGAAAGCGUGGGGAGCAAACAGG
rnacentral:rRNA from 1 species